rnacentral:rRNA from 1 species
UUAAAAAGCUCGUAGUUGGAUUUCUGCGGGGGCGGGCGGCCGGAUGCUUAUAGCUCUCGAGCUAGCACUUCCCCCGCAUCCUGCCGCGAACCGUGCUACCAUUAGUUUGGUGGCACUUGGGAUCGGCUCGUUUACUUUGAGAAAAAUAGAGUGUUCAAAGCAGGCCACACGCCUUGAAUAAGUUAGCAUGGAAUAAUGAUAAAGGACUUCGGUUCUAUUUUGUUGGUGUUCGGGACUGAAGUAAUGAUUGAUAGGGACAGUUGGGGCGGUCAGUAUUCCAAAGCGAGAGGUGAAAUUCUUAGACCUUCGGAAGACUAACAGCUGCGAAAGCGUUCCGCAAGGAUGUUCCCUUUGAUCAAGAACGAAAGUUGGGGGAUCGAAGACGAUCAGAUACCGUCGUAGUCUCAACUAUAAACUAUACCAGCUAGGGAUCGGCCGACGUUUACUUAUAUCGACUCGGUCGGCACCUUAUGAGAAAUCAAAGCAUCUGGGUUCCGGGGGGAGUAUGGUCGCAAGGCUGAAACUCAAAGGAAUUGACGGAAGGGCACCACCAGCCGUGGAGC